GUUGAAGAGGUAUUUCCAGUAAAACAAGGAUUGAAAC
rnacentral:other from 1 species